AGAAUGAACGUUGGCGGCGUGGAUUAGGCAUGCAAGUCGUGCGAGAAGUCCCUUCGGGGAUGGACAGCGGCGAAAGGGAGAGUAACGGGUGGUUACAUACCCCCAGGCUCGGGAUAGUGUCGGGAAACUGACAGUAAUACCGAAUAAUAUCUUUGGAUCAAAGGUGUGAUUCCGCCUGAGGAUUGGACCGCUUUCUAUUAGCUUGUUGGCGGGGUAAUAGCCCACCAAGGCCGAGAUGGAUACCGGGUGUGAGAGCAUGGCCCGGCUCACUGGGACUGAGACACUGCCCAGACACCUACGGGUGGCUGCAGUCGAGAAUCUUCGGCAAUGGACGAAAGUCUGACCGAGCGACGCCGCGUGCGGAUGAAGGCCUUGGUGUAAACCGCUGUCAGUUGGAGGAAAUGUAUGGGUACUCCCGUCGUAUUUGACCGAUCUUCAGAGGAAGGAGGACUAAGUUCGUGCCAGCAGCCGC
rnacentral:rRNA from 1 species